GAUGAACGCUGGCGGCGUGCUUAACACAUGCAAGUCGAACGGGAAUUCUUUUAUUGACACUUCGGUCGAUUUAAUUUAAUUCUAGUGGCGGACGGGUGAGUAACGCGUGGGUAACCUGCCUUAUACAGGGGGAUAACAGUCAGAAAUGGCUGCUAAUACCGCAUAAGCGCACAGAGCUGCAUGGCUCAGUGUGAAAAACUCCGGUGGUAUAAGAUGGACCCGCGUUGGAUUAGCUGGUUGGUGGGGUAACGGCCCACCAAGGCGACGAUCCAUAGCCGGCCUGAGAGGGUGAACGGCCACAUUGGGACUGAGACACGGCCCAGACUCCUACGGGAGGCAGCAGUGGGGAAUAUUGCACAAUGGGGGAAACCCUGAUGCAGCGACGCCGCGUGAAGGAAGAAGUAUCUCGGUAUGUAAACUUCUAUCAGCAGGGAAGAUAGUGACGGUACCUGACUAAGAAGCCCCGGCUAACUACGUG
rnacentral:rRNA from 1 species